rnacentral:rRNA from 1 species
AUUGAACGCUGGCGGCAUGCCUUACACAUGCAAGUCGAACGGCAGCACGGGAGCAAUCCUGGUGGCGAGUGGCGAACGGGUGAGUAAUAUAUCGGAACGUGCCCAGUCGUGGGGGAUAACGUAGCGAAAGCUACGCUAAUACCGCAUACGAUCUAUGGAUGAAAGCGGGGGAUCGCAAGACCUCGCGCGAUUGGAGCGGCCGAUAUCAGAUUAGGUAGUUGGUGAGGUAAAGGCUCACCAAGCCGACGAUCUGUAGCUGGUCUGAGAGGACGACCAGCCACACUGGGACUGAGACACGGCCCAGACUCCUACGGGAGGCAGCAGUGGGGAAUUUUUGGACAAUGGGCGGCAAGCCUGAUCCAGCAAUGCCGCGUGCAGGAUGAAGGCCUCGG